rnacentral:rRNA from 1 species
AUUGAACGCUGGCGGCAGGCUUAACACAUGCAAGUCGAGCGGGGUGAUGUGCUUCGGUACUGAUCCUAGCGGCGGACGGGUGAGUAAUGCCUAGGAAUCUGCCAUUUAGUGGGGGACAACAUUCCGAAAGGAAUGCUAAUACCGCAUACGUCCUACGGGAGAAAGCAGGGGACCUUCGGACCUUGCGCUAAAUGAUGAGCCUAAGUCGAGUUAGCUAGUUGGUGGGGUAAAGGCCUACCAAGGCGACGAUCUGUAGCGGGUCUGAGAGGAUGAUCCGCCACACUGGGACUGAGACACGGCCCAGACUCCUACGGGAGGCAGCAGUGGGGAAUAUUGGACAAUGGGCGGAAGCCUGAUCCAGCCAUGCCGCGUGUGUGAAGAAGGCCUUUUGGUUGUAAAGCACUUUAAGCGAGGAGGAGGCUACCUGGAUUAAUACUCUGGGAUAGUGGACGUUACUCGCAGAAUAAGCACCGGCUAACUCUGUGCCAGCAGCCGCCGUAAAAC